rnacentral:lncRNA from 10 species
AUUUGCUCUUGGAAAAAAAUAAACAUAACACUAAAAAUUUUAAAGGAGACAACAUUGUGGGGACUCAGAAAAUAAAAAUAAGAAAAACAAGACAUGAAGAAGGAAUUUGAGUAAAACUCUGAGGAGCUAAAUUGAGAUUAUAUUAAGAGAUAAUAAAAGGACAAAAGUAGGAAAUAAACAAGUAUAUAUGGAAGGCAGCUAGUAGUCUGGUUUCACUGACGAGUAAGGGAGGAGUGGUAUGGUGAUUAGGGAUGAGUAAGUGCUGGGUAUGAAAGGCCUUGAGCUUUAGGCAGGAGGCUGGUAUCAAAUUUAUUCAUGGUCAUUGGAAGCAGGAUGCAGUACAUAUUUUUCGGGGCCCAGUACAACAUAAAAAUGAAGAGAUCCUUGUUUAAAAGUUAUUAGGAAUUCCAAAUGGCUACAGCAGAACAUUAAUCCGUGUGUAGGUCCCUUCUAUGCAUGAAGCCCUAUGGGAUGCAUAGGUCACAUGUCCAUGAGCCAGCCCUGCUGGUCAGUCAUUGCUUUUGAAUGUUAGAGAAAAUGAUAGAAAGUUGUGCUUAAGAAAAAUAGGUCUAGCAGAAUUGUUCAAUAUAAACUGGAAAGAAGGGGAAUAGGAAAAGGAAAACAAUUAGUAGAUACUAGAAUCAUAGAGAAAAGUUGUAGCCUGACUAUUUCAAAUAAAAGGUAAUAAAAUGAUUAUCAUAUAUAAUGAAAGGAAAAAAUCAUCCAUAAUAGUUGGCAAAUUACAACUAGCUAAAAAGACAAAGAAGAGCACUGAAUCAAAGAUGCGUCCACAUUUCAUGUUUUAAAAGAAUAGGAGAGAAAGUAAAAAUAUCAAGACAGCAAAAUCACAAAGAAGAGCUGAUUUGUGGGAAUAUUGGGAGAAUGCUAAUCUUAAUUGUGAGAUGCUGAAGUACAACUAGAUAGAAAAAUAUAUGGUGCAGAUGAGGAUAUAGGCUCAGCUAUCAGAAAAAUUUUAUGAGAGAAAGAGAUAAAGACUUUCAAGUUACAUAACACAAAAGAAGAAGUGGCUUUCUUCUUUAAGAUAAAUUGUUCAAAUAAUUAAUUCUUACAAUCAU